rnacentral:rRNA from 1 species
GAGUUUGAUCCUGGCCUCAGAUUGAACGCUGGCGGCAUGCCUUACACAUGCAAGUCGAACGGCAGCACGGGAGCUUGCUCCUGGUGGCGAGUGGCGAACGGGUGAGUAAUGCAUCGGAACGUAUCCUGGAGUGGGGGAUAACGUAGCGAAAGUUACGCUAAUACCGCAUAUUCUGUGAGCAGGAAAGCGGGGGACCUUCGGGCCUCGCGCUCUUGGAGCGGCCGAUGUCGGAUUAGCUAGUUGGUGAGGUAAAGGCUCACCAAGGCGACGAUCCGUAGCAGGUCUGAGAGGAUGAUCUGCCACACUGGAACUGAGACACGGUCCAGACUCCUACGGGAGGCAGCAGUGGGGAAUUUUGGACAAUGGGGGCAACCCUGAUCCAGCCAUGCCGCGUGAGUGAAGAAGGCC